rnacentral:tRNA from 1 species
GCGUCGGUGGCGGAGCGGUCAAUCGCACGUGACUGUAGAUCACGCGGGCUUAGCCCUACGCAGGUUCGAAUCCGGCCCGGCGCA